UGAAUCCUUGUUUGCUUGAUCACUGGAUCUCGUUGUGCUGUAAAACAUGGCGGCCUAUAGUUCUGACUUUAAACACCUUUUCUCCAAUCUGGGGCAGAGUUAGGUAUGAAUAUGAAACCAAUGAAGAUAAAUUGUCUGUUGUUUCUUGUACUGACUCUUUUCAGAAGAAAUAUAGAUUUUUAUGAAGUUUUUUAUAAUUAUUGAUUUUGCCACCAUUUUGGUUGCUAAGCGUAUCUAGGAAAAACGUCA